CUUGUGGCAGAUCUCUGGUGGAGUCGGUUCAAGACUAUCGUCGUCUCUGGCGUCCUGGAAGUCCUGGUAAAGAUCUCUCUCUUAUCUCCAUUUCUCGGAUUUCCAAAACAAAAAUACAUAGUACCUACUUGAUGACGAUGCCGAUUUUCUGCGCAGGGGAUUCUUCUCGUGGCGCUCGUAGCAUCUAUAGAAUCUCUCACUCCACCCGAGUGCCAGCUUCUAGAUGCUUCCUGCAACAGCGCAACCUCUUCCCAAAAGGCUGUGUUCUUCGGAGGACUCUACCUUCUAGCACUUGGAGCCGGAGGUGUCAAAGCCAACAUCGCGACCAUGGGAGCAGUCCACUUCGACGAGAACUCGCCUGUGGAGAAGAAAGAACUGGGGACGUACUUCAACACGUACUUCAUCCUUUUCUGCAUCGGAGCGCUCAUCGCGAUCACGGCACUCGUCUACACGCAAGAAAACGUCUCCUUCGAAGUUGGCUAUCUCAUCGCGCUUGGAUGCAUGGUAUUGGGCGUGAUCGUCGCUGCCGCUGGCUAUCCACUCUACCAACACAACUCACCCAUAAACGGAACCCAAAGUCCAGUCACAAGCUUCGCCCAAGUUGUUGUGGCCGCGUUUAAGAACCGCAAGCUUCAAAUUUUGUCCCCGGAAGUUCUCCAUCAGGGUCCUCUCGAUGACUCAAAGAUGGGCUACAGGAUCGAGCACACGGACCAGUUCACGUAAGAUUUUGAGAUUCGCUUCGAUAUAGUGAUCAAUCGUCUUUGUAACCAUGGCAGCUUCUUGGAUCGAGCAGCCAUCGUCGACUAUAACUCUCCCCCGACCGCACAAACCAGCCCCUGGAAGCUGUGCACGGUGACACAAGUCGAGGAGGUGAAGCUCAUCCUACGAAUCCUCCCGAUCUUCGCGAGCACCAUCGUUUUGAACUGCGUCAUCGCUCAAGUCCAGACAGUAACUCUCCAGCAAGGCCGGACGAUGGAUCGAAGGAUCACCAAGAGCUUCGAGAUACCUCCGGCGUCGGUGGCAGCGCUCCCGGUCGUGUUCAUGAUCAUAGCUCUCCCAAUCUACGACCGGAUCUUCGUGCCAAUCGCGCGGCGAGCCACGGGUCACGAGAGCGGGAUCACGUACUUGCAAAGGAUCUCCGUGGGCUUGCUUCUGGCGAUCGCGAGUAUGGUGGUGGCGGCGCUGGUGGAGAAGAAGCGGAUCCGCGUCGCUCGGGAGUUUGGGCUCCUCGAUUCGCCCACCGCGAGGGUGCCGCUCAAGAUCUACUGGAUCAUGAUCCAGUACUUCAUCAUUGGGCUGGCGGACAUGUUCACAUUCGUGGGUCUCAUGGAGUUUUUCUACCGCGAGGCCCCCGAGAGAGUUCGCAACAUGUCCACGGCGCUGACCUUUGUCUCGCUCUCCCUGGGCUACUUCUUGAGCUCCACCAUUGUGGACAUUGUGAAGAGCGUUACUACAAAAGGUGGCGGGCUCGGGUGGCUGCCAAGCAAUAUCAAUAAGGGUAACAUCAGCAACUUCUACCUGCUGCUUGCAAGCAUCAGCGCCGUCAACUUCGUGGUGUAUGUGGCCUGUGCGAGGUGGUACAGGUAUAGAAAUCACGGUGAUGUUGAUUUGACAUUGGAUCGUGAUGUUGAGUUACCAUCAAAAGUUACGGAUAUUGGUAGUGUGAGCAAGAGGCCCUUGAUGGCCUAGACAAUAUUUCAAAAUAAAUCUUGAACACCAGCUACUGAAGAAAUGUCCAUAAUGUUCAUACAGAUUCUUACAUAAAAUUCACCACCUAAUAACUCUUCGCAGUUUACAAGACAUUUAUUUUGGUGUCUCAAUGACUUGAGAAAAGUUAGUAAAAGGUAUAACUCAAGAACUCCAAAAAAAAAAAAACAGGUGAAACUUUAUGCUGAUGUAAAGAAGGCGACCAUUUUCUCAUGUCCUCUGUCAUGAUAAGCACCGUGUCCUCCUCGUUGACCUCGCCCUUCAAAAUCCCUUUAGCCAGCUCACUGGAUAGUUAGGAUCAUAUCCAAGCUUGGCAAACACCUGAACCGUAUCGUCCGUGAUCUUCAAAGAGAUCUUGCGGUGUUGGACGUUUUGCAGCUAGAGAAAAAAAGCCAAAGAUCAUAAACUGCCUGAUCGCGAAAACGCAACUUACCUGGAGCUUGACGAUUUCUUGGAUCUACUCCACGUCCAGGGGCUGGAACACGAUGAACUCGUCCACCCUGUUCCUGGCCGGAAGGUGGAGCGAGCCACUUCCAUCACCGUCUGAUAUGCCGCGUUCUUGUCGCCCGAUGAUUUGAGAGCGUCCAGGAUGUGCUGCGAGCCGAGGUUGACCACGGUGUUGGCGAAGUUCACCGUCCGGCCCUGGGAGUCCGUCACGUGGCCAUCGUCGAGUAUCUGGAGGAAGAUGUUGAAGACGUCCGCAGCCUUUUCGAUCUCGUCGAAGAGAACCACCGAGUAAGGCCGCCGGCGGACGCUCUCGGUCAGCUGCCCAGCCUUCCUCGUAUCCCACGUAUCCUGGAGGAGCGCCAAUGAGCCGGAACACGGCGUGCUUCUCCAUGCACUCAUGUCGAAUCUCAGCAGCGCUUUGUCCGUGUCGAACAGGUAUUCGGCUAGAGCUUUGGCCAGCUCCGUUUCCCCGACUCCGGUCGGCCCCAUGAACAUGAAGCUGGCGAUAGGACGGUUUGGAUCCGCGAGUCCAGCUCUGGAACGGCGGAUAGCGUCGGCCACGGCUUGCACUGCGGGGUCUUGGCCGAAAAAGCGCUUAUGUAAGUGUUCGUCGAGGUGGAGCAGCUUCUCCAUCUCGGACUAGAGCAGCCUUGAGACGGGAAUCUUUGUCCACUUGCUGACUAUCUCAGCACUUUCCAGAGCUGCAUCCUUCUCAAGGUACUUGCGAUAUUCCUUUAUUGUCGUGGCACCAAUGCACCUCAGUUCACCAUGGCCCAGCAUUGGCUUCAGCAAGUUUCCAACAUCCAUCGCUCCCGACGUGGCACCUGUAAAAACAAGUACCGUGCUUGCAGUCGAAAAUGCAAAAUCCCACACACAAAGUACUUGCCCCGACGACCAUGUGGAUUUCAUCAAUGAAAAGCACAAUGUACCCCUCUGACUCCUUCACUUCUUUUAGAACAGCUUUUAAUCGAUCUUCAAAUUCUCCUUGAAACUUCGCUCCUGCGAUCAAGGCUCCCAAGUCCAAUGAUAUCAGCUGCAUUUUUAAUGGUAAGGUGUUGCAAUAGCACUCGCGUAAAACAUACCUUCCGGUUGGCAAGGGCCUCGGGCACGUCUCCUUGAACUAUACGCUGAGCAAGUCUAUGCAAGAUAAUCAAGUCAGCAGAAGCCAGUCAUUUCCAUACCCUUCGGCUAUAGCAACACGAGGCUCUCUAAUCACGACAGGAUUGUUCUUGGUUCGCCGGCACACAAGAUUUGAAUGCACCGUCGAAUUUCGUCAUCACGACCGAUGACCGGAUCAAGUUUUCCUUGGCGGGCCAUCUCCGUCAAAUCCACUCCAAAUUUCUCGAGUGCUUCAUACUUGUUUUCAGGGGCUGGGUCGAGAAAACAAACAACGAGACUGUUGAGAAUUUUGACAAAGAAAACAGCGAACCUUGAUCAGUAACCGUCUGUGUCCCUCGAAUGGCAGUGAUCGCAUGUUUAGUAGCCUUGGCAUUGAGACCGAACUGCCCAAACAACUCCUUCCCGAUACGAAUGUCUUCCGCGGGUGACAAAUGUUCGAUUGACGUAUAAUUAUCUCCAAAGUCCUUCAUGUGACCCUUGGCUCGAUUGAGUAAACUGUCGAGGCUCUGGCCAAGCAUAGCACCAGAUAUGUUUCCCGUCACCUAGAAGAACACGCGCACAAUCAGAAUGUCUCAAUAGAAAAAAAAAACACUUUUCACCUUAGGCUGGCGCUCGAUGUAUCGCUCAGUUGCUUGCAAAAGAGCCGAGUUAUCAAUCCCAGCCUUGGUAAAAAUAAUCCGUGCAAGACCAUUUUUUUUCUCCAGCAAAUCCUUUAGAAGAUGCUCGGUUUCUACAACCUGUUGUCUGUUUGAUUGUGCCAGUUCCACGGCGGAAACCAUACCUUGCCUUGUUUAGAAAAAGAAUCAAGUUUCUCGCUGAAUAUCAUUCUUAACAUUACUAAUGAAAAUGGAGGUAUGGCUCAGUGGUAGAGCAAUCGGCUGCAGUCCCAUAGGUCACUAGUUCGAUCCUGGUUGCCUCCUCUUCCAGUUUGAAACUCAACAAAAUUUACAGAUACGCCUUCUCAAAGUUGGCGAGGUUGGUGGUAUUAGCUACAAUUUGACAAAUCAUUUUUUGAAACUCAGCUCUGAAUCCAUUUGUGGUUCAUGCUUUAGAAAGACCCUUCAAGGACCAUGUAGAUAGAUCUUCUUCACAAGAAAAGUAAAUGGUUGAAUACCUUUGCUGUGAUCCUAUGCUUCGUCUUCCUCUUCCAGCACAUAAGUUGGCCAUUGCGUCCGGAUUUGCAAGCCGGGAACCGUCUCACUCAACUGGAACGAUCCCGCAACUGGUUGAUCGCUACUUCCCAGCUGCUGGUACCUCGAGAUUUGCGAAGAGUCGCCCCCGCCAGCUUUGUGGAAGAACGCAUAAGUUCAUGGCCAGAUGCAAGUUAAACUGGAGCGUCGCGAUCGCCUUGCCUCUGUGCAAUGCCAUCGUCCCUUUGCAGUGAACUGCGUAGUCGCCCUCGCCGUUUUGAUCCAGCCAGCACCCCUGAGACAUCCCCCUGGACGAGAAGAUCGAGCUGGCCAUCUGGAAGAACCAAAUUCCCUGGAGGAUCAAUCCCAAGCUCUGAAUAAAACGCAGCAGCUCACUGCGGGUGUAGCAAAUCCUGAGAAGCGUCAACAGCAAACACACGCCGAUCGGAACGAGGAGGAGCCGAUGGUACUGCCCCUGGACGCCGGUGCCAUCGUCUUCCUUGAGAUAGAAAGAGGAAGAACUCCAAUCCAAAUGCCGUCACUGCGAGGAGCGGCAAAAUCUCUUUUGGGAGCGGCAAAAUCCUGGUCUUCUCCUUGAGGAUCGCGGCGAGCAAGUAGACGAGGAACAUAGAGCGCCAUGGCCGACGCCAGUCCCGGUGGGACGCGAGAAAGCUCCCUAGAAUGUGGAACGCCAGGAACGCGACGAAGGAGGUUGCAAUGCCGGAUCGAUCUGUGCUUACCGGGAUCCACUGGAGUGGGAUUGGCCAUAGGCCGAUCAUGCCCUCCCAUCCAUAGCUCGAUAUUAAUAUUAUUUGUUAUAAUAUACCCUUUAUUGUUAAAACUUAUACAAAUCUAAUGCGUAGUAACGUAAUUAUUUUAAUUUAUUAAUUUAAUUGAGGAGCUUAUUUAUAAUUUAUAACACAAGAUUAUUAUAAAUUUUAAAUACAAAAUUAAUCUAACCGAUAAAUGGUAAAAUAUCUCAGAAUAUCCAAGCAUACUCACAUAUCAUUUCUUUGGUAUAUAACAGAAUUUCAAUUUGUGUGUGUGCUAGUGGAAAGGGGCGCUAGCAAUCCACUAGAACGAUUGAUUGAUCCAUGGCUUGGAGCGUGGGGACCUUUUUUCCAAAAUUGAUGGCCUUUUUUUCCACUCACUGUUCUUUCUUUUUGUUUUCUUACAGAGAUUUAUUUUUUCAGAUUAUUCACUUAAAGUUUUAGUAUCUGCUUCUGGACAACCCCACACAAUGGGAUGAUGCUAUACAUGAAAAUUUGUCCUAAAACACUACUCCAUGGCCUUGAACUUUCAGAGUGACCCAGAGUUGCAAAUGAAUCUCCAAAUGCUGAAUAAGUCGCGAGGAGACUUCCACAAUCUUGCGGAAGAUCAGCGCCCGGCCAGCUGGCCCCAAGAACAGAAUUACACGAUCAUUCUCUUGAUUGGGCCUUGAGAGGAGACACUUAAUAUUCAAAUGUGCAGAUAUACUUUGAUUCUGCCGCGAGAGUCAAUGUGACUUCUUGCCAUGUGUUCGAUGGAAGCAUAAAAGUCAAGCCAAGAUUGGGGAAAAUGAUACCAAGAACACAAAUUUGGAUGGAUUCUUUCCACCCCCACCGUACCCGUCAAAACUCUGGCUCGAAUACAAGAUAAAAGGCAGCAAACAAAGGAGCAAGGAGAAAACCAAAACCCGAGAUUCCAUAAACUUUUCUCUCGAGUUGUUUUGAAAGAGAGAAGCGAACCUUUAAUCCCACGAUACUCUUUUCGGACGUGACAAAACCCUCAGAGUCAGCUCCCUAGCAAUCAAAUGACGUCAUCUUUUAUGGCCUCGUCUCUCUUUUAAGUAAGCGAAACAAACAAAGUGGCUUUGGGGGAGAUUUUUACUCUGUUCGCGUGUGAAUCCUCAGCGAGCGAGCGCGGGGAUAGCGAUUGAUCAAACUCCAUGGCGUUCACUUCUCGAGCUUGGAGAGUGGCACCCUUCAUCUUUGGUACCAAAUUGAUGCUUGGAUAGAUUUUGGGUCUUUUCCUUUUCUUUAGCCUCUUGAAUUUUGACUCUCCAUGGUCUUGAUCAUUGUUACAUUCUUCUUCUCAUGGUUUGGAUACAUCAUCUUGAUUUGUGAUUUGAUUUCUUCUUUGGCAGCGGUGGUGACGCUCGAACAGGCAGCUUCUUUCUCAAUUGGGAUCAAUCUCUUCACGUUUGCAUUCAACACGGAGCAUUUCAGCCUCGCCACUGCUGCCAACAUUGUGACCAACUUCAUGGGAACGAUGUUUCUCCUCACGCUCCUUGGAGGGCUUGUGGCAGAUCUCUGGUGGAGUCGGUUCAAGACGAUCGUCGUCUCUGGCGUCCUGGAAAUCCUGGUAAAGAUCUCUCUCUUAUCUCCAUUUCUCGGAAAACAAAAAAUACAUAGUACUUGAUGACGAUACCGAUCUUCUGCGCAGGGGAUUCUUCUCGUGGCGCUCGCAGCAUCUAUAAAAUCUCUCACUCCACCCGAGUGCCAGCUUCUAGAUGCUUCCUGCAAGAGCGCAACCUCUUCCCAAAAGGCAGUGUUCUUUGGAGGACUCUACCUUCUAGCACUUGGAGCCGGAGGUGUCAAAGCCAACAUCGCGACCAUGGGAG
rnacentral:lncRNA from 1 species